rnacentral:rRNA from 1 species
UCCGUAGGCGGGCAAUUAAGUCAGAGGUGAAAUCCCACAGCUCAACUGUGGAACUGCCUUUGAUACUGGUUGUCUUGAGUUACAGUGAAAUAGAUAGAAUAUGUAGUGUAGCGGUGAAAUGCAUAGAUAUUACAUAGAAUACCGAUUGCGAAGGCAGUCUACUAACUGUAUACUGACGCUAAUGGACGAAAGCGUGGGGAGCGAACAGGAUUAGAUACCCUGGUAGUC